UACGUAGGGGGCAAGCGUUGUCCGGAAUCAUUGGGCGUAAGGCGCGUGUAGGCGGCUGAGUAAGUCUGCUCUGAAAGCCCGGGGCUCAACCCCGGGAGGCGGGUGGAUACUGCUCAGCUCGAGUCCGGAAGAGGAGUGUGGAAUUCCUGGUGUAGCGGUGAAAUGCGCAGAUAUCAGGAGGAACACCAAUGGCGAAGGCAGCUCGCUGGAACGGUACUGACGCUGAGGCGCGAAAGCGUGGGGAGCAAAAGGG
rnacentral:rRNA from 1 species